rnacentral:lncRNA from 1 species
CACGCUGGUCUUGAACUCCAGACCUCAGAAGGUCAGUUCCUCUUACAAUCCUCCAGAGUGUCCACUUUCCACUAUCAAAAUGUCCUUGCGAGAAGUCUGUGACUCAUGGAAAUUGAUGGCCUACCUCCUGCUAAGGUGGUGACUAUAGUAUACCCUGUUUGCUUCCUGUUCUCAAGGACAAUCUGUGGCUCUUCUGAAAUGCUCAUGACUGUAAGACAGGGGAAUGAGCCUGGGGGAAGACAUCACCGUCAGACUCCCUUGGCCCUCCUGAGGACUGUUGCUUAAAAACCUGUGGGA